CUGGGAUUACAGCAACUCCCAAAACACACAUGGCCCCAGAGAAUAAGAGGACCACAGCUGAGUUGCUUUUCAGACAUCAGACAGCUGUCCUUGUGGAUGAAAGAAACUCCUUUCCAACUUUGAAGAAAAUGUCCAGGGAUCGGGGAGCAGGCAUGUGAUAUUCUUCAAGGUGCCACCAGCCUUUCUCAAUAAAACAUCUCCAGUGGGAAAACAUGGAACCCAGAAAGGGCUGGUGUGGGAAAAAUAUGACAAGGAUGGCCGGCAAAGUAAACCCAUGGUGAAUUCAACCCUGAGAAAGCAGAUUUCCUGGAGUGUGCAAGCUUUGCUUAGGCUUAGUUUUAAUAAAUAAUAAAGAGACACAAUUAAACAAACUAAAGGUGAUCUUGCCCCGGAUGGCUCCUUAGGAUCUUUAGAACAUGGCAAUUCAAUUUAAACGCGGAGCCCCUACUCUGCUGGACUGACAGGAAAUUGAACUGUCCAGGUCAUGACUCCCGUGUAUGAAGUGCAGCUGUCCAGGUCACCCCUGGAACAUCUUUCACAACCUUGCUGAGGGCCCUGCUAGGAACCAGGCAUCUUAAGAAGCACUAGGUCAUCUGGAGGCCCUUCCCAUCAUUAGUUCACAUGAGCACGUCCCAGUCUGCAUGGUCUCCUUGGGGUUACCCCUCUGCUAUUAAAUAUUUUCUAGAAAAAAAAAAAAAAGACUCUUUGGCAAAGACCCAGCCUCCCUGAGGCACAUACAGCGAGGGGGUACCACCAAGAAGCAGGUGACAUCCUUGAGGCUUCUGGAUUCACAGACCUUUUUAGUUUAGGAAAAUACAGCCCUCCUCAAACCCUAUUCUUCUCUGCAGGUUUAUUUGAAAUGAAAGCCUGGAAGUCCAGCCACAAGUCUCUCCUGAGGCUGAGACACAGAGCCAGCCAGAAUGAAAAAUGGAAAGGGGAAAAUACAGAGAGAGAAAUUAAAUCAGUAUCUCAAAGGUUUUCCUCUUUUUUCUAAAAUGAAAUUCCUUUCAUUUUAGUGUUUAUUUUAGAGUUGAGGCAACUGAGACAUGGGCAUAAUGACCAAAGGCACACAACUAGUUACAAACAGUGACACAACCAGUUACUGACACCUACUAGUUACUGACAGAUACUAACAGCCAACAAUAGCUGGCUCUUUCUAUUAUACCAUGGUGCCUCUUCAUUUUUUCUGAUUUCCAACCUCUUUUCUAUUCUAAACUGCCCUUGUUGAUAGGCACUUAAGUCUCUGCACCUACAGUCUUAGACAUAUUUGGAAACUUCUCUUAAGCAUGUUGAUCCAUCCAGGGCUGAAUUAUCUGUGAUCAAAAGAAUUACUCCACCCUGGGGCAUAUCCAACAAGAUGAAAGAUUCAGAAAUAAAUUACAUUGUGCUCCAUUCUUCCUGGCUCUCAACAUCUUCCCGCAUAAGAAAUCAGUUUCCUGAGAGUCUCCAGGCUCCAAAAGGCCAUCCUAAGGGAUGAAGGCAAAGUCUCAUGGGUCCAGCCACCCACCACAGACAUCUCUAGGAUGACUUUGGGGACCUGAUUGUUCCUGUGGCAAUGAUGCAUGUGGCCUGGGAGUUUUGGGAAAGGUAGGUUCAUGAGCUAUUUAUGUGUAGUUAAGUGUUUGGUCUUUCUGAGCAUCAGCUGGCAAGGCCAUGUCCUCAUCCCACUGCCUCUGAGAGUCACUGCUUAGCUGUGUCUAAGCAAUGAGGGGAAGAGGGGGUGAUAUUGUAUCUAACUUUGAGAGUAAUCAUUACUGUGUCAGUGUGCAAAUGACAAGUUCCAGUGGGUAGUGUAGAAGGUUUUCUAGUUAUUUUGUCUAUUAUAGGCAUGGUCCAAUACUUCCUCUUCCUCUUUCUUUUAAUAAAGGACUGCAAGAGAAAAGGA
rnacentral:lncRNA from 1 species